GGAUGCGAUCAUACCAGCACUAAUGCACCGGAUCCCAUCAGAACUCCGAAGUUAAGCGUGCUUGGGCGAGAGUAGUACUACCUGGGAAGUCCUCGUGUUGCAUCCC
rnacentral:rRNA from 1 species